GGUAGGCACCCAGUGUUAUAAACGUCUGAAUGUUAUUAUAGAUAGGCACUUUAUAGGUUAGAAAAGUAGAUGUUUGUUUGGUAAGAAUUUGGUGGUUAAUAUACGUUCUACACAGGUAUUAGAGUAGAUAGGUCAAGGUCGGAGACCAGUAAUGUUGUUUUUAAUCUUCAUAUAUACGCUUUUGGCUAUAUUUAGAGGAUAAAACUUACCGGAAUGGUAGGUCAUCAAUCAUCUAUAAAUCGUCGCAUUUAGCGCAUCCAUUGUUCGUUCCUGCAUUGUGCUGGGACAUAAAUACCUUGUUUUCUUUGGAGUUUACACAUUUCACAAUUGAAAUACAUUUGAACAUGGUUAUACUACAUGUAAAUGGCUUUGACUUGGUAAAACGGGUUGAAUCAGUGUUGUUUAUUACUGUCGCAGUAAACAUUGACGUCUGUCAAUGUCGGUCGGUUUGUUGUCUGUGGUUUGGCACAAACAAUCAGUCAUACAUAAAGAGUAUUUAUGAAUAAACAUUUAGUAUGUGUUCUUUUAUAUUUUGCAAUUCGUAGUUAUAAAUAAUGUCCUUAUUUUUAGCUUUCGAAAUUAGUAAUUCUUUUUAUUUUUGGUGACUUCGGUUUUCUGUAAAUUGGAUCCGGUCAGUUGCGAUGUCAUUGAAUGGGAGGUUUUCCAUUCACCACUUUGUCUGUGGCUUUGCCAUUUUUUCAAUUUCGCUUCAUCAUUACUAUCUUUCGAGACAAGAUGUAAGACGUAAUUUGUACAUCAUGUCGGCAAUUAAUUCAUGGGCUUGGCCCAAAAUAUGAUUAACCUAGCUUCCUAUGCGCCGGUAAUGGCGACAUAACCUUUUCACCUCUUUCAAACCAACUUGCAAUCCCUUGACAAAGAUGAGACAUCAUUUUGUUUCACCGCGUGCGCAUACGUCGCCACGUCUGGUGUCUAAUAUAAGGGACUCGGCUUAGAAACCGGUAAGGAUUUUUUAAUCUCAUUAUUUCCGCAAGCUAAAUCGCGCGUUGUCCCAAUUAAAUAUAAAUAUAACUUUUUAUAACAUAACCUCUCUAAAACCUAGAACAUUCUCUUUGUUUCUAGGGUUCCUUUGGCUAGGCCUGUCUUUUGGCUGGGCCUAUCUCUUCCCUUGGCUCUUGGCCCUAUGGCUUUUGGAAGAUCUAGGGUGGUGUCGCACCAUGCUAGAGGGGAAGCCGUCUUCUCCACUUAAUUUUUGGACUCGAGGUGAAGUGUUUAUUCGAUAAAACUGUGAGUUAAAAACUUAUAUUUACAUUAGUGACUGUGUUCCUUUGCUGGAAAGGAUAAACAAUAUUUAAGUCUGAAUUUCUUUUUAACGUGAACUUUCUACAUGGUAAAUUCUAUUAUUAAUAUGAAACCUGCAAUUCCUAUGUAGGAUUUUGUGUGUAUUACAGGCCCAAAUAUGCCUGAGAUGUACUUAAGUUAAAUUUAAUUAGUAAUAGUUACGGUACGUAAUUUAAAUGUUAAGUCUCGAGGCCGCAGCAGGUCUUAUUGUGAUGUAAAGUGAAUAAAAGUAUUUAGUAAAUAAA